UACAGAGGGUGCGAGCGUUGUUCGGAAUUAUUGGGCGUAAAGCGCACGUAGGCGGAUUUGUAAGUCAGGGGUGAAAUCCCGAGGCUCAACCUCGGAACUGCCUUUGAUACUGCAAAUCUCGAGUCCGGGAGAGGUGAGUGGAAUUCCUAGUGUAGAGGUGAAAUUCGUAGAUAUUAGGAAGAACACCAGUGGCGAAGGCGGCUCACUGGUCCGGUACUGACGCUGAGGUGCGAAAGCGUGGGGAGCAAACAGG
rnacentral:rRNA from 1 species